UCAUAAUAAAAGAAAAAUAUUUCAUGGGCGUAUGUAUUCUAGAUUGGUUUAAUAAAUUUAAUUUACCCAAAAAAUAAUAAAUGUGCAAAUGCAUCAACUCUGCACCAUCUUUUCACUGGUGGUGACAGGAUUAGUGGGAACAGGUCCAUCAAAAAGAAAAAGGCAUGCCACCUUAGGUGUGGAUUUAUCUUCUACUGGGGGUUUGCUUGGUUUGAAUUUAUCUUCAUGUUAUGGUCUAAUUUCAGUGAUAAUUAAGUGAGUUCUACAUGGGUUUUAGUUGGCUGACUAUAAAAAUAAUACUAGUAUUUUAGCCAAAAAAGGAAAAA
rnacentral:lncRNA from 1 species